GCGUAAGCAUUCAACCUAAAUUCACUCGUUCUCGUAGAAAAAGAGAGAAAAAGAAACGCGUUUAAGAAUCGUGAGAUGGUGCGGCCAUGAAAUGGGAUUUAUUUCCGUGCACGCCCGCUAAUCGGCAUGAAGAAAAAUAUUAGGAAAUAGUGCAAGUAACAAAGGAAGACGAAGUAAAUUUAGGAGGCGUCAUCUUCUUCAACGCGCCUGGCAGCGUUCCACCAGGUAGUCUGUGGCCCCGCGUCCGCUGUGGUCAAGAGGGAAGCGAAGGAGACAGCUUCAUCUGCUGACCGCCGCCUGUUUUCCAGGAUUCGGCUUCCCGACACCCCAGUAGGACGUGGAGUACGGUCAGCCUCUCCCCGCAUCUACCGCAGGUUGGAGGCUCACUUCCGAUGAAGGAAGAGGUUGUUGAUGUAGCCACCAUGGGUGGUGUCACGGCUUACAACAGUGUCCGCAGUGCUGUACUACAGCCAUCAUCCCAUGGCAAUUAGGAUCCUACUAAUUCAAAAUUUUCUUUUCAAAUACCACUUUAACAAAGACCUCAUAACGGCAUGUGAAAACCAGGCCGUGUUCCAUGACGUGGGAACCCUCGUUCACUUGCAAGAAAUAUUCACGUCAUUUACAUCCCGAACAAUUUAUGAGGACUGUGUCCCACUCCUUCUCUUAAUAUUUGGACCGGACGAUGACAAAAUUAUCCAUUAUGCAAUAGCUUUCUUUUUCAUCGUGGCCUUCAUUAAUGGCCUCCAUUGGAGGUAUUUCAUCGUUCACCACUCCUUCCCCCACGCAAGCAUGGUUCGUAGGCUGGUGGUCUUUUUCUACAUAUGCCUGAGUCUCGUCAGCACCAUCGGCCUACUCAUAGCGUUUGUUGGGAAGGAGGCAUCCAAGAUUCGUGCAAGAUACAACGAGGACCUGCACGUCCGUGCCGCAGAGUGGCACGAUUAUUUCUGUGCGCUGGAAUUAGCCGUGGCAACGGCGUACUUCUUGCAACCACUCGUGUUCCGCUGGGUGAGCAAUGAGUAGGUGAAGGGAGCAACAGCGUCUUGCGCCAGCCGCUGCCACCAGCCACUGCCACCAGUGCCACAACUCAUUUCAAGGUGUUCUUCUGCCCGCAUUAGGAAGCUGUACAAGUCACCAAACUUUGUGUAAAUAAAUAAACAUUGCAUGUAGAAAUGA